GCGUCGGUAGUGCAACGGUUCGAGCACGCGCCCUUGGACAGGGUGAGAUGUGGGUUCGAGUACCAAAUGACACA